AUGAAUGACAUUGUUGUACAAUGGCGUUUUACGGGCUUUUAUGGUCAUCCGAAUAGGAGGGAUCGUAACUUAUCUUGGGAUGAUAUCUGUAACUUGCACAAUAAAGGUGAUCACCCUUGCGUGGUUUUGGGCAGUUUUAAUGAAAUUCGUCUUUCUUCGAAAAAAGAGGGAGGCAAUGCGAAACCUAAUACAAUGAUGAGAGACUUUCAUAAUUGUUUCGAAGAAUGCGGGUUGGAAGAUAUGGGAUGUAUUGGGGACCCCUUCACUUGGAGGAGGGGUGACAUUAGGGAGAGGCUUGACAGCGCGGUUUGUAAUGUGAAAUGGACAAACAAGUUCCCUAGAUCUGCAGUUAUAAAUGAAGAACAUGUAUAUUCUAAUCAUCGCCCUCACAUUCCAGAUACAGAAUAUUUUGAUGGUAAUAUUUUUAACAAACCAAGAAGCCGACUAAAACAAUUUGAAGCCUGA
rnacentral:rRNA from 1 species